CUGGAGGUAUCAGAAGUGCGAAUGCUGACAUAAGUAACGAUAAAGCGGGUGAAAAGCCCGCUCGCCGGAAGACCAAGGGUUCCUGUCCAACGUUAAUCGGGGCAGGGUGAGUCGACCCCUAAGGCGAGGCCGAAAGGCGUAGUCGAUGGGAAACGGGUUAAUAUUCCCGUACUUGGUGUUACUGCGAAGGGGGGACGGAGAAGGCUAUGUUGGCCGGGCGACGGUUGUCCCGGUUUAAGCGUGUAGGUGUGUGUUCCAGGUAAAUCCGGUUCACUUUAACACUGAGGCGUGACGACGAGGCACUACGGUGCUGAAGCAACAAAUGCCCUGCUUCCAGGAAAAGCCUCUAAGCAUCAGGUAACAUCAAAUCGUACCCCAAACCGACACAGGUGGUCAGGUAGAGAAUACCAAGGCGCUUGAGAGAACUCGGGUGAAGGAACUAGGCAAAAUGGUGCCGUAACUUCGGGAGAAGGCACGCUGACAUGUAGGUGAAGUGAUUUACUCA
rnacentral:rRNA from 2 species